AUCCGGCUGACGAGUCACGAAUAGGACGAAAUGUACAUCCUGGAU
rnacentral:hammerhead_ribozyme from 1 species